rnacentral:lncRNA from 1 species
UUAAUGAGCUCAUUCUUUUUUUUUUUUUGUUUGGAUAGUAUAAAUGUGUAUACGUUGUACUUAUAUUUGAAAAGUUGUUUUUAAACAGAAAUAGCACAAUCGGUCGUGCAUCAGAACGUAUACAUAUAUAUGUAUAUACAUACCAAUACAUACUUAUUCAAUAACAUAAUUAGAACCAAAACUAGUAACAUUCUUACUGUUAUUUCGAAAUGUGGAAAGCGGCAAAUGUUUCUUACACAAGAUAUGCGUCAGAAAUGGCUAAUAUUUUAAGAAAAUGUUUAAAAGACCCAUAUUCAGAAAUAGCUUUGGGAAGAAGUAAAAUGCAUUUAAAAGAAACAUUAUAUAAAGAUGGAAAACCAAUAAGUCAAGGUAAUUUAUUUUCUAAAAAAAAAAAAAAAAAAGUAACUAUAAAACAAAUCCGAUUUAUAGAUAUAUACGUAUUAAUAAAAUAAUAAAUAAAUGACAGUUAAAAAAAAAAAAAAAAAAAAAAAAAAAAAAAGAGCAAUUAUAUAUAUUUUUAAUGGAUGUGUUGCUAUUAACCUUGCUUGUUUUUUCAACUAGUAUGCAUUCCCUCUAUACACAUGCUUAUCUACAUUGAUAACAUAUAUACAUUUUACUAUUUUUUUAACAGAGCUACAUGAAGAGUUUGAAAAAGCUUUUAAAAAUUUAAAUAGUACUAAACAAUGAUGCUAAAUUUUGAUUGAGUGAAAAAAAAAAAAAAAAAAAAAAAAAGAAGAAGAAGAAAAAGAAGGUAGUUAAUAUUGGGAUCUAUCAUAAAAAACAGAAAAAAAAAAAAAAAAAAAAAAAUAGUUGUUAAAAGUAGACAAUAACGAAAAAAUAAUCAAAAACAAUGUAUUUAAUAUUGCCUAAUAUAUAAGUCAAACUGAUCUGUUUUUUUUUUUUUACUUUGUUUGUGUCAUUUGGAAUGUACAUAUUUUUAAUAAUUGAAAAAAUUUGGUACAUAUAUACAUAUAUAUGCAUGUAUGUAACAUAUUGCUAAUUCCACACUUUUUAUAAAACACUACGUAAAAAUAUGAAAUCAAAUAAACAGUAUUAUAUAUAUGUAUAUAUAGUAAAA